rfam:Ciona savignyi cont_26748, whole genome shotgun sequence.
GUUGUCGUGGCCGAGUGGUUAAGGCGACAGACUAGAAAUCUGUUGGGCUCUGCCCGCACAGGUUCGAAUCCUGUCGGCGACG